GCGGGACUCCCUGGGCCUGCUCCUUCGGCGGGAGACCAGGCGGGACGGACAGUGGCCAUGGACCUGCAGGGCACAGAGCACCGG
rnacentral:sRNA from 1 species